CAGGAAGUAGCUACUACCACAUGAGCAAGAGAGGAUGAGGUAAAGAAAAACAAAAUGAUCUACUUGAUGGCCACUGCAUGCUGUGACAAGGGGUUGGAUGGUGGAACACAUCUGCUUCGAGCUGCCUGACUGAAUACGGGGGCCUUCAGUGAUACCUUUUGAUAACAGCAAGAGUCUCCAUCUGUCUCAUAGCCAUUUAACAUGUACUGUGUGUAACAACUCAAAUUCAUACGAACUGCUUCAAACACAAGAACUGACUUUAUAUUCACUUGUCCCUGGCUGUGUCGACUGGCAGCCCAAUUCUGAUCAUUUUUCCUCUAAUUGGUCUUUUGACCAAUUGCAUCAGAUUUGUUUUACAUCAGAUCUUUUUCAAAGCUGAUCUGAUAGGUUAAAAUACCAAUUAGUGGGAAAAAAAUGAUCAGAAUUGGGCUACCAGUCAACACGCAGCCUAUUUGUAUUAUUCUUCAGUCUUGUGUAGUGUACCAUUUUUAUAUUGCACAUAAGCAUACUGUCAUGCCUUUUCACCAGAAAAUGUAUGUAGACAGAUAAGAGACAAUUACAUAGAUGGUUUUGGUUUUCUUUACCUCCUCACUUGCUUAUGUGGGUAGUUACUUCCUGAUAAUUGAUUGAUGGAACAAUCCAGUCAAUGGUUAGGCAGCUGUGGUUUUGGCAGAGGGAAGUGAUUGGUCAGGAGUAAAAGGUCCUGUCCCCAGAGCGCAAAUGAUUUUCCUUGCAAAUCUCUUCCUACAAAUUUACAAAACUUUCUACAGUGUGUCAGAACUUGAAUCUGCGCACGCACAAAAUCUGCAUGUGUAUUUUUGAUUCAUAACAGAAUAUUUAUAGUUGUAAAUGGACUUAAUAUAUUAUGUUUGCAAAUCUUAUUGAAUGUAUUCAAAUGUCAAGUUACAAGUUUGCAACUGUUGUUAAAUCAUGAUACAAACUUGCGAAAUUAAAACAAUUUCCAAUGCA